GGGAAUUCAAUUCAGAAUGCAAUUCAGGUCAGCAACAAAAGAAGCUCACGUCAAGAAUGCGAGUCAGCAGUCCAAGAUGAUCAACAGAAGUUAGUCACAAUCCAGAAUAAAAACAAAAAAGAAAGACAAGAAGUGAAUCCAAAUGCAGAAGUUAAUGAAAGAUGUGAGCUGCUCAAGACAGGGCUGAGGUCACAAGCUCUGCAUGUCCCGUCUUGGUUUGAAAACCUGAAGAAGAUAUAACCAACACCUGCAGCUAACAAGCAUCAAGAUUCAGAUCAGGGUCCGUAUGAAGAACCAACCAAGACUCAAGAUCAAGCUUCAGAAGACUCAUAGAUAGGAGUCUUGUAACUCGUAGCUGAUAGGUUUUGAAAUAUUCUUGCAUAAAUGAUUUUUGUUUGAAUUAUUUUUGGGACAAAUGUAAAAUUUUGAAUUAAGCUUCACUUUGUGCUUUGUAUACAGAUAAAACCGGGCCCACCCGAUUUUACUAUUUGAUCGAAACUAGGGAGUUGCAUCGAAGGUCGGUCCCGCAGUAGAUCAGACCAAAGUACGAGGACAAGGUUUCGAGUUCGGGAAUAGAGGUACCUGUCGAGAUCGAAGCCAAUAGAUAUCGAGACCAAAUGAGACAGACAUCGAACAAUACGAAAAUAGCACAAUAACAUAAAGGCGAGAUAUUCGUGAAUGGUCGAAGAUCAUGGUGUCAAUUUCGGAACGGAUCAAAUCAGGAACAUUUAAUUAGCUAAUCAUGGGAUUUCCUUAUGUAACUAAAAUUAUACCAUAAGUAGAAUUCCUCUACUAUAUAAAGGGGGUUCUAAUCAUUUGUAGGAGAAAUUGUUCACACAUAUCAAA
rnacentral:lncRNA from 1 species